GUUGCAGUGGCCUAAUGGUUGGCGUGUUGGACUCCGGAUCGAAUGGUCUGGGUUCAAGCGCUGCCUGCGGUCACU